UACAGAGGGGGCGAGCGUUGUUCGGAAUUACUGGGCGUAAAGGGUUCGUAGGUUGCCAACUAAGUCAGACGUGAAAUCCCUCAGCUUAACUGGGGAACUGCGUCUGAGACUGGAUGGCUUGAGUGCAGGAGAGGAACGCGGAAUUCCAGGUGUAGCGGUGAAAUGCGUAGAUAUCUGGAGGAACACCGGUGGCGAAGGCGGCGUUCUGGACUGCAACUGACACUGAGGAACGAAAGCCAGGGGAGCAAACGGG
rnacentral:rRNA from 1 species